GCCCCUGUAGCUCAAUGGAUAGAGCACCCGCCUUCGGAGCGGAGAAUGAGCGUUCGAUUCGUUCCAGGGGCA
rnacentral:tRNA from 1 species